GAUGAACGCUGACAGAAUGCUUAACACAUGCAAGUCAACUUGAACUUCGGUUUGGGUGGCGGACGGGUGAGUAACGCGUAAAGAACUUGCCUCACAGUUAGGGACAACAUUUGGAAACGAAUGCUAAUACCUGAUAUUAUGAUUUUAGGGCAUCCUAGAAUUAUGAAAGCUAUAUGCGCUGUGAGAGAGCUUUGCGUCCCAUUAGCUAGUUGGAGAGGUAACGGCUCACCAAGGCGAUGAUGGGUAGCCGGCCUGAGAGGGUGAACGGCCACAAGGGGACUGAGACAGGGCCCUUACUCCUACGGGAGGCAGGAGUGGGGAAUAUUGGACAAUGGACCAAGAGUCUGAUCCAGCAAUUCUGUGUGCACGAUGAAGUUUUUCGGAAUGUAAAGUGCUUUCAGUUGGGAAGAAAAAAAUGACGAUACCAACAGAAGAAGUGACGGCUAAAUACGUG
rnacentral:rRNA from 1 species